rnacentral:lncRNA from 1 species
CCAGAGGAACGUGUCAGAAAUCCGGAGCACCGCUCUGACUCAGUUCUUGCUCAACUGGACCCUGGCCGAGCUGGCAGGCAAUUACCGGCCACACAACACGUCCGUCGCUCCGGAGACGCCGAAGUUCGACGUGACGAAUGUGGAGGACUGGUACCAGCAGGUCGUCAAGCCGUUGUUACGGAGGUUCUCGCCAAAUGACGCUGACGCUCUUAUGCAUCAGAACAUCACGCUCGCCUUCCACAAAUUGUUCUAUCUGGAACACGGCAAAGACAACGGAACCUCCGAAAUCCUGGAUGUUUGCAGCAUCACCCUUGAUAAGAGCCCUUGUGGGCUGACGGAUGCAGUGGAAAACGUGGCCCACGUUCUGCACUGCGCUGCUCGGGCCAAUCUGACAAUGUCCGAGGAGACGAGCAUGAGACUGAUCGUUGAGCUGACGGAACGUCUGAACUCACUGCUCAUGGAGUUAUCCACUACGAACUUCACCAAGUUGGCGUCCGACUUUCGGCCGAUCUUCGACGAGCCGGAAACUCCGUCUCUGACCGAGGAACACCUGCGGGACCCGGCCUUCAUCGAGCUCUGGUUCAAGACCAAACUGAUGCCCCUGCUACCCGACGUGCACCCGGACCUGCUCUCCUGCCUCAGCAGCAAGAACUUCUCCUGCCCCGUCUACCAAACCAUUGUCGCAGGUCUCAGCAAACACAUGAGUUUCCUGGAUGCUGAUCGAAAGUACAGUCGUGGCAUCUAUGAACACUUCAUCUACCCCUUCCUGCUGCAUCACAACUCCUCGGAUCCCCAGUGUGCGUCCUCGGCCAAUCACAGUGCAGAGUGGCUGAGGAAGAACUUUGGCUCCUUCUCCAGGUUCGCCGUCGUCACCGACUUCUACGAGCUCAACCCAAAGUUCUCCGGACUGGAGGUUCUUCACCUCUUGUCUCCGGAACAAAUAGCAGAGAUGCUGCUGCUGCCUCUUCCUGCGCCUCCGGGGAAGGGCGUCGUCGUCGACCGGGCGUUCGACUUCUUGACGGAGUUUCCCGGGAAGUUUCCGGAGGUCCUGCACCACCUGGUCCGGCUCGCCGCGGAGGUCAAUCCCCCCUGUGGCGUCUACAAACACAUUUUUGAGCGACUGUACGAGUCCAUACCGUCCCUGCAUCCCGACAUGGAGCCGAUCGCCUGGGCCGGCAUAGACGAUCUGAUGAAGACUGCACCAGAGGAGUGUGUGCCGGUGAACAGCACGUGCCCAGUGACCCACUUCAACGCCUCGCUUGUCUGCGGAGGAAUCGACAGCUCGGACCUGAAGUCGUACUUGACCACAUCCGUCUCUGCGGCCGCCCCCUGUAACUUUACCCUGGAGCAAUAUGCAUGUGCACGGCUGGAGAACUUCACAGCCAAUCAGCUGGCGUCUCUCCUGAAGUGUGACCUGCCCGGAAACAGCAGCCACUCCAAAAUGCUGUGGAAGAUGCUGCUCACCAAACUCUCCAAUGUCCUGGACCCGGCUCUGGACAUCCUGGCCAACGUGUCCAUGACCGCGGUCGGCCCGUCAGCCUCGGAGGUUUUGGACGUGAUCGGGGAGAUCAGGGUGUCGCUGCUCACCGACGAGCAGCUGAAGAACGGCAGCGAGAUCCGGCAGUGGUUCUCCGGGCGCCUGAGCGGGUUCCUGCCGUCGGCGUCGGGCAGGUUCCUGCGCUGCCUGAUCCACAGGAACCUCAGCUGCCACUCGUACCAGCACAUACUGCAGGUGUUUGUCCGCCAGUUCGACCACAUGACCUGGAAUCAGAAGCACGUGGUCGUGGCGGAGUUCGUCCUCCCUUUCCUGUCACGGCCUCGCUCAGGUCCCGGCUGUGUGAACGGCUCCGACAGCGCAGAGUGGCUCAAGACGAGUCUCGGUCCGUUUUCCAGGAUUUUGCCGCUCGGGGAGCUCCUGCGUCUCAACCCGCGAUUCAGCCCCGUGAGAUUUCAGCUCCGCCGACUGCAAAUGGUGAAAAGGCCGAUAUUGUUUAUUACUUUGUUAUUUCAACUUUUCUCCUUCCCUCCUUUUUUUAGCUGA